rnacentral:rRNA from 1 species
AAUCAACGCUGGCGGCGUGCCUAACACAUGCAAGUCGAACGCGAAAGUGGAGCAAUCCAUGAGUAGAGUGGCAAACGGGUGAGUAACACGUGGGUGACCUGCCUUCGAGCGGGGGAUAACGUCCCGAAAGGGACGCUAAUACCGCAUAACAUCCUGCCUUUGAACAGGCGGAGAUCAAAGCUGGGGAUCGCAAGACCUAGCACUUGAAGAGGGGCCCGCGUCCGAUUAGCUAGUUGGUGAGGUAACGGCUCACCAAGGCAACGAUCGGUAGCCGGCCUGAGAGGGCGGACGGCCACACUGGGACUGAGACACGGCCCAGACUCCUACGGGAGGCAGCAGUGGGAAUAUUGCGCAAUGGGCGGAAGCCUGACGCAGCGACGCCGCGUGAGGGAUGACGGCC